CCUACGGUGUGCAGCAGUGAGGAAUAUUGGUCCAUGGACGAGAGUCUGAACCAGCCAAGUAGCGUUCAGGAUGACUGCCCUAUGGGUUGUAAACUUCUUUUCUCUGGGAAUAAACUGUUCCACGUGUGGGAUUUUGUAUGUACCAUAUGAAUAAGGAUCGGCUAACUACGUGCCAGCAGCCGCGGUAAUACGGAGGAUCCGAGCGUUAUCCGGAUUUAUUGGGUUUAAAGGGAGCGUAGGUGGAGUGUUAAGUCAGUUGUGAAAGUUUGCGGCUCAACCGUAAAAUUGCAGUUGAAACUGGCAGUCGUGAGUACAGUAGAGGUGGGCGGAAUUCGUGGUGUAGCGGUGAAAUGCUUAGAUAUCACGAAGAACUCCGAUUGCGAAGGCAGUUCACUGGACUGCAACUGACACUGAGGCUCGAAAGUGUGGGUAUCAAACAGGAUUAGAUACCCCAGUAGUC
rnacentral:rRNA from 1 species